rnacentral:rRNA from 1 species
GACGAACGCUGGCGGCGCGCUUAACACAUGCAAGUCGAGCGAGAACCUGGGCUUCGGCCCUGGGGACAGCGGCGAACGGGUGAGUAACACGUGGGUAAUCUGCCCUCGACAUCGGGAUAGCCCGGGGAAACCCGGAUUAAUACCGAAUAGCCUCCGGAGCCUUCGGGCGCCGGAGAAAAGGUAGCUUCGGCCUCUGGUCGAGGAUGAGCCCGCGGCGGAUUAGCUUGUUGGCGGGGCAACGGCCCACCAAGGCGACGAUCCGUAGCUGGUCUGAGGGGACGAUCAGCCACACUGGGACUGAGACACGGCCCAGACUCCUACGGGAGGCAGCAGUGGGGAAUCUUGCGCCAAUGCGGGAAACCGUGACGCAGCGACGCCGCGUGGGGGAAGAAGGCCUUCGGGUUGUGAACCUCUUUCAGGAGGGACGAAGCCACUCGGGUGAAUAGCCCAGAGGGUGACGGUACCUCCAGAAGAAGCCCCGGCUAACUACGUGCCAGCAGCCGCCGUAA